rnacentral:rRNA from 1 species
UCUGUGGCUUCCGGGGCGACCCUGCCUUCGGGCGGGGGCUCCGGGUGAACACUUCAAACUCUUGCGUAACUUUGCAGUCUGAGUAAACUUAAUUAAUAAAUUAAAACUUUUAACAACGGAUCUCUUGGUUCUGGCAUCGAUGAAGAACGCAGCGAAAUGCGAUAAGUAAUGUGAAUUGCAGAAUUCAGUGAAUCAUCGAAUCUUUGAACGCACAUUGCGCCCCCUGGUAUUCCGGGGGGCAUGCCUGUUCGAGCGUCAUUUCACCACUCAAGCCUCGCUUGGUAUUGGGCAACGCGGUCCGCCGCGUGCCUCAAAUCGACCGGCUGGGUCUUCUGUCCCCUAAGCGUUGUGGAAACUAUUCGCUAAAGGGUGUUCGGGAGGCUACGCCGUAACAACCA